rnacentral:tRNA from 1 species
GGGUCUGGGGUACUCUCGUUCGCAUCGAGAAGGUCAGGGGUUCGAUUCCCCUUAGCUCCA